CCAAACUCCAGAGUUUAGAUUUCAUCUUUAGAUGGAUAUCAGUCUUUAAAUUUAAUGAGUCCCUUAAAAUGCCAGUUCCUCACUUAAAGCCUGCCUACUUUAUUGGGGGGAGCACCCUUUUUGAAGAGUAACUACUUCCUCAUUCUCAUUUUGCCUACGACCGAAUUCAGAGCCCAAUUUAAAUGCCUUUGGGGUGCAAUGGACACUAAUAGUGGCAAGGUCUCAUUUUAUUUUGUGUUGUCGGAUUGGGAUGAGAAGAUCUUAGUUGACCUUAGCCAACUCACUUUACCUUUUUGAUCACUAAUUUCCUUAACUACAAACUCAAAGAGCUGGAGGACUAGGUCAUUUCAAAUGCCCCUUCUGGCUAGGGAAAGCGGGAGGAAGGGAAGUAAAAAAUGAAGAGCAGGAAAAUCACUACAAUAAUUUGAAUAAAACAAUGAAAAUUUCUACCCACCCAUCCUGAUUCUGUCCUCGGAGGUAGACAGUCCUUCAGAUACUGAAGACCCCUUCCCCUACCUUGUUGCUCUCUCUCACCCAGACUUUUUUCCUCCAGGUUAUCCCGGUUGAUUCCUCUGUCAGUGGCUCUCAAACAGAAUCACCUGGAGACCUUAAGGGACAAAAUACCCAGGGCUACUGCCCUUGCCAGAAAUCUGAUAUUAUAGAUGAUGAAAUUAAUCCGGUCUGGGACCUUGGCUUGGGUAUUUUUUUAAGCUGCCUUCCUAUUCUAAGAAUCAUUCGGGAAGUUAUUUGUUUGUUUAAAUGCUGAUUAUUUACAGCUCUUUAAGAUUCUGAUUCAGUUGAUCCCGGGGUCUGGCUAGGAAUCUUCAUUUGAAUAUCGCACACACAUAUUCUGAUGUAGAUUGUAUGUAGAUUGUUCCAGGACCACAACUGUAAUUCUCACUACCUAACUGCCCUCUACAAUGGGGACUGUCUAGCUCUGCCCCCGCAUGCAUGCAUUUACCCACUCUCUGGUCUUUUGUUUGUCCCUCCCCCCCCCAGGGUGUGUGGUUCUCUCAAAGAAACAAGUAUCAUUGCUCUUUCCUCUGGUCCCUCAAUUGAUUCUCUACUCCAGCACAUCUGAAAUUUAAAUUCUGAAAGAUCCCCAGAACCCACUGCUGAAAGCUUUGGCCUGUAUGUGAGUAGAGAGACAGUGAGCUGCGAGGGAGGAAUUUUGUAAGCGCAGAUCCUGUGGUCUGAUUCAACCAAAUCGCAAUUGCUAAAGGUUGGGCCAUGUUAUCUACAUUUUUGCAAAUUUCUUCAGAUGAUUCCGAAGCACUGCAAGCACUACUCAAAGGCAGGGUGAUUGAAGAUGUUGUGGCUAACCAGUUCUCAAAGGAUGCA